rnacentral:rRNA from 1 species
GACGAACGCUGGCGGCGUGCUUAACACAUGCAAGUCGAACGGAAAGGCCCUGCUUUUGUGGGGUGCUCGAGUGGCGAACGGGUGAGUAACACGUGAGUAACCUGCCCUUGACUUUGGGAUAACUUCAGGAAACUGGGGCUAAUACCGGAUAGGAGCUCCUGCUGCAUGGUGGGGGUUGGAAAGUUUCGGCGGUUGGGGAUGGACUCGCGGCUUAUCAGCUUGUUGGUGGGGUAGUGGCUUACCAAGGCUUUGACGGGUAGCCGGCCUGAGAGGGUGACCGGCCACAUGGGGACUGAGAUACGGCCCAGACUCCUACGGGAGGCAGCAGGGGGGAAUAUUGCACAAUGGGCGGAAGCCUGAGGCAGCAACGCCGCGUGCGGGAUGACGGCCUUCGGGUUGUAAACCGCUUUCGCCUGUGACGAAGCGUGAGUGACGGUAAUGGGUAAAGAAGCACCGGCUAACUACGU